UACGGAGGGUGCAAACGUUGCUCGGAAUUAUUGGGCGUAAAGCGCACGUAGGCGGAUUUGUAAGUCAGGGGUGAAAUCCCGGGGCUCAACCUCGGAACUGCCUUUGAUACUGCAAAUCUCGAGUCCGGAAGAGGUGAGUGGAAUUCCUAGUGUAGAGGUGAAAUUCGUAGAUAUUAGGAAGAACACCAGUGGCGAAGGCGGCUCACUGGCCCGAUACUGACGCUGAGGUGCGAAAGCGUGGGGAGCAAACAGG
rnacentral:rRNA from 1 species